GACAACUUGACACUUUCUUGUCAAACUGGGUGACUGGGAGGCAGUUUUAUGUUCAGCUGCAUUAGUGACUGAAAACUGUGAAGAUGCAGUUAUGCACAUUUCUUCUGCUGAGUUUGGCUUUUUGUCCAGCAUCAUCUAUGCCCCCACCAGAUACAUCUG